GGCUUCCUCAACCUCGGCCCUCCAGAUGUUUUGAGACUACAAUUCCUAUCAUCCCUGACCACUGGUCCUGCUAUCUAGGGAGUUGUAGGCCAAAAACAUCUGGAGGGCUGAGGUUGAGGAAGCC